GCAGAGAAGCUGCGGGUGGCUCCGAGCGGUGCCUGGGAUAUGGGGCAGCCCACGGCUCUCCUGGCCUCUGCUCUGCCUGCAAGAAUGAAGCAUUGGACAAGUGCUCCAGGUUCCAGGGGCCCCACUGCAGGAGACCUGUGAAGGGGGCAAAAAACAACUGAACAACAGCUACUGAACACAUCAAAGGCCACUGGGAUAAUCAAAGGAUCCCAGUAGCUCUGCUGACCCUUUUUCUGUCGCUGUUUCAGCUGUGAGAUCCAUCCUAGACAGACAAGGUCUCGAUUUGGUGUGCUCAGUGACAUCAUGCUGAUUGGCAGCGUGCCAGCUCUGGGCACACAACCCUUCGUGGCGAGGGAUGGGCCUUGAAUCCACCACCUGGGUACCUGAACAGGAGGAGUCCCAAGCCACUGUGAUGUGCUGUGUAGUGUGGCUGUGCAAAGAUAGAUGGGAUUUUCCAGAAUACACAUCUUGCUCUUUAGAUCUCAGCUAAUAAUGGUUUGACCCCAGGGAGAAUUUUUAGCAAAACAUUAAGUUGUCAUGCUAGGAAGUUCCCUACCAGGGAAUAUUGCAUUUGUUAAGUACCUAAAAAGACAGUUAUAAAUGUAGAGAGCAGCUUGUUUUCACAACUGCGUGUCUAAUACAGGAAGCUGUUCCAUGGGAACUAGCUGCAGCUCUGAGCAUCUCAAGGUGCUCUUCUGGAACUUCAUUUUCUCUCAUUUUCUUAUUCCUUGUAAACAAAAUAACAUCAACUUGGGGCACUUUAGGCUGUUUAAAAUUUGGACCCCUUACACACUCACUCACUCGCACCAUCACUCACUCCCAAGACUUCUGUCAUCUCGGGGAAUGUGGGUUUCAAGGCUCGGAUCCAGUUGGACUAACUAAUUACUUGUGUUGUAAUGAUCAACCUGCCUAAUUUAUCACUUCUUUGAACAUUUAAUUAGCCAACAGUGCAAGGCAGUUAGGUUCUGAAUUAGGAUAAAUUAAAAUGCUGGCUUUGCAGCUCUAAGGGUAUGCAAGGCACUGCCAAUUGCUGCUGUGAAAAUAUUCAGCAAAGCAGAUAAGGAUCUAAAGAACUCAGCCAGGUUAAUGAUUCUGAUGAAGUAACUCAGCCUUUGAAAAACUCACUGUGAAGUGUGGAUGUUUCAUCACAUGUCAAUCUGACUGUGCUGGAAGGUAAAAACUUGAAGCUGAAAAUGGCAAUUUGCUCCUCUGUGUUCAACUCCCACUCCCUCUGGUGCGUGAGGU